CACGUAGGGCGCAAGCGUUGUCCGGAAUUAUUGGGCGUAAAGAGCUCGUAGGCGGUCUGUUGCGUCUGCUGUGAAAACCCGGGGCUUAACCCCUGGCUUGCAGUGGAUACGGACAGACUAGAGGUAGGUAGGGGAGAAUGGAAUUCCCGGUGUAGCGGUGAAAUGCGCAGAUAUCGGGAGGAACACCGGUGGCGAAGGCGGUUCUCUGGGCCUUACCUGACGCUGAGGAGCGAAAGCGUGGGGAGUGAACAGG
rnacentral:rRNA from 1 species